rnacentral:hammerhead_ribozyme from 1 species
AUCCAGCUGAUGAGUCCGAAAUAGGAUGAAACACGCGUCCAACUGAAU